UACGUAGGGUGCAAGCGUUGUCCGGAAUUAUUGGGCGUAAAGAGCUCGUAGGCGGUCUGUCACGUCGGCUGUGAAAACCCGUGGCUCAACUGCGGGCUUGCGGUCGAUACGGGCGGGCUAGAGUUCGGUAGGGGAGACUGGAAUUCCUGGUGUAGCGGUGAAAUGCGCAGAUAUCAGGAGGAACACCGGUGGCGAAGGCGGGUCUCUGGGCCGAUACUGACGCUGAGGAGCGAAAGCGUGGAGAGCGAACAGG
rnacentral:rRNA from 1 species